AACGAACGCUGGCGGCAGGCUUAACACAUGCAAGUCGAGCGCCCCGCCAGGGGAGCGGCAGACGGGUGAGUAACGCGUGGGAACGUACCUUUUGGUUCGGAACAACUCCGGGACACUGGAGCUAAUACCGGAUAAGCCCUAACGGGGAAAGAUUUAUCGCCGAAAGAUCGGCCCGCGUCUGAUUAGCUAGUUGGUGAGGUAACGGCUCACCAAGGCGACGAUCAGUAGCUGGUCUGAGAGGAUGAUCAGCCACACUGGGACUGAGACACGGCCCAGACUCCUACGGGAGGCAGCAGUGGGGAAUAUUGGACAAUGGGCGCAAGCCUGAUCCAGCCAUGCCGCGUGAGUGAUGAAGGCCUUAGGGUUGUAAAGCUCUUUUGUCCGGGAAGAUAAUGACUGUACCGGAAGAAUAAGCCCCGGCUAACUUCGUG
rnacentral:rRNA from 1 species